GAGCGUCAUUUAAACCAAUCCAGCCUCGUGCUUGGGUCUUGGGCCUUUCGCCUCUGGGCGGGCCUCAAAAUCAGUGGCGGUGCCGUCUGGCUCUAAGCGUAGUAAUACUCCUCGCUAUAGACGUCUGGUGGUGUCUUGCCAACAACCCCUAAUUUUUAAAGGUUGACCUCGGAUCAGGUAGGGAUACCCGCUGAACUUAA
rnacentral:misc_RNA from 1 species